rnacentral:rRNA from 1 species
GAUGAACGCUGGCGGCGUGCCUAAUACAUGCAAGUCGAGCGAACAGACAAGGAGCUUGCUCCUCUGACGUUAGCGGCGGACGGGUGAGUAACACGUGGAUAACCUACCUAUAAGACUGGGAUAACUUCGGGAAACCGGAGCUAAUACCGGAUAACAUGUUGAACCGCAUGGUUCAACAGUGAAAGACGGUCUUGCUGUCACUUAUAGAUGGAUCCGCGCCGCAUUAGCUAGUUGGUAAGGUAACGGCUUACCAAGGCAACGAUGCGUAGCCGACCUGAGAGGGUGAUCGGCCACACUGGAACUGAGACACGGUCCAGACUCCUACGGGAGGCAGCAGUAGGGAAUCUUCCGCAAUGGGCGAAAGCCUGACGGAGCAACGCCGCGUGAGUGAAGAAGGUCUUCGGAUCGUAAAACUCUGUUAUUAGGGAAGAACAAAUGUGUAAGUAACUAUGCACGUCUUGACGGUACCAAAUCAGAAAGCCACGGCUAACUACGUG